GAUGAACGCUGGCGGCGUGCCUAAUACAUGCAAGUCGAGCGAACGGACGAGAAGCUUGCUUCUCUGAUGUUAGCGGCGGACGGGUGAGUAACACGUGGAUAACCUACCUAUAAGACUGGGAUAACUUCGGGAAACCGGAGCUAAUACCGGAUAAUAUUUUGAACCGCAUGGUUCAACAGUGAAAGACGGUCUUGCUGUCACUUAUAGAUGGAUCCGCGCUGCAUUAGCUAGUUGGUAAGGUAACGGCUUACCAAGGCAACGAUGCAUAGCCGACCUGAGAGGGUGAUCGGCCACACUGGAACUGAGACACGGUCCAGACUCCUACGGGAGGGAGCAGUAGGGAAUCUUCCGCAAUGGGCGAAAGCCUGACGGAGCAACGCCGCGUGAGUGAUGAAGGUCUUCGGAUCGGAAAACUCUGUUAUGAGGGAAGAACAUAUGUGUAAGUAACUGUGCACAGCUUGACGGUACCUAAUCAGAAAGCCACGGCUAACUACGUG
rnacentral:rRNA from 1 species